CAGUCGCCGCGGUAAGACAGAGGAUGCAAGCGUUAUCCGGAAUGAUUGGGCGUAAAGCGUCUGUAGGUGGCUUUUCAAGUCCGCCGUCAAAUCCUAAGGCUCAACCCUGGACAGGCGGUGGAAACUACCAAGCUGGAGUAUGGUAGGGGCAGAGGGAAUUUCCAGUGGAGUGGUGAAAUGCGUUGAGAUCGGAAAGAACACCAACGAUGAAAGCACUCUGCUGGGCCGACACUGACACUGAGAGACGAAAGCUAGGGGAGCAAAUGGGAUUAGAUACCCCCGUAGUCCCUGUCUCUUAUAC
rnacentral:rRNA from 1 species